rnacentral:rRNA from 1 species
GAUGAACGCUGGCGGCGUGCCUAAUACAUGCAAGUCGAGCGAACAGACGAGGAGCUUGGUCCUCUGACGUUAGCGGCGGACGGGUGAGUAACACGUGGAUAACCUACCUAUAAGACUGGGAUAACUUCGGGAAACCGGAGCUAAUACCGGAUAAUAUAUUGAACCGCAUGGUUCAAUAGUGAAAGACGGUUUUGCUGUCACUUAUAGAUGGAUCCGCGCCGCAUUAGCUAGUUGGUAAGGUAACGGCUUACCAAGGCGACGAUGCGUAGCCGACCUGAGAGGGUGAUCGGCCACACUGGAACUGAGACACGGUCCAGACUCCUACGGGAGGCAGCAGUAGGGAAUCUUCCGCAAUGGGCGAAAGCCUGACGGAGCAACGCCGCGUGAGUGAUGAAGGUCUUCGGAUCGUAAAACUCUGUUAUUAGGGAAGAACAAAUGUGUAAGUAACUAUGCACGUCUUGACGGUACCUAAUCAGAAAGCCACGGCUAACUACGUG